rnacentral:lncRNA from 1 species
UCGUCGAUCACUGUUACACUAUCGUUGCCUUCUCCUUUGUUGUCAUACACAGAUCCACAUCUCUCACAUUUUUUUUCGUUCUCUAUCUCUUUAAUAUUGUGUUUCAUUUUGUUGUUUGUUGGCUGACAUAUUUGAUUUCACUCCUAAUAAUGAUACCUUGUAUUUGUUGGUUGCUUGUUGAAGUUUGAUCUCGCACUUAAAAAAUAUACCUUUUUAUUCGUUUAAAGUUGAGAGGUUUAUUGUUAAG